GGCCAGUUAGCUCAGUUGGAUAGAGCAUGGUGCUAAUAACACCAAAGUCUAGGGUUCAGUUCCCAUACUGGCCA